rnacentral:rRNA from 1 species
GAGGAAAGCUGGCGGCGUGCCUAAUACAUGCAAGUCGAGCGAACGGACGAGAAGCUUGCUUCUCUGAUGUUAGCGGCGGACGGGUGAGUAACACGUGGAUAACCUACCUAUAAGACUGGGAUAACUUCGGGAAACCGGAGCUAAUACCGGAUAAUAUUUUGAACCGCAUGGUUCAAAAGUGAAAGACGGUCUUGCUGUCACUUAUAGAUGGAUCCGCGCUGCAUUAGCUAGUUGGUAAGGUAACGGCUUACCAAGGCAACGAUGCAUAGCCGACCUGAGAGGGUGAUCGGCCACACUGGAACUGAGACACGGUCCAGACUCCUACGGGAGGCAGCAGUAGGGAAUCUUCCGCAAUGGGCGAAAGCCUGACGGAGCAACGCCGCGUGAGUGAUGAAGGUCUUCGGAUCGUAAAACUCUGUUAUUAGGGAAGAACAUAUGUGUAAGUAACCGUGCACAUCUUGACGGUACCUAAUCAGAAAGCCACGGCUAACUACGUG